AGUGAACGCUGGCGGCAGGCCUAACACAUGCAAGUCGAACGGCAGCACAGAGGAGCUUGCUCCUUGGGUGGCGAGUGGCGGACGGGUGAGGAAUACAUCGGAAUCUGCCUAUUUGUGGGGGAUAACGUAGGGAAACUUACGCUAAUACCGCAUACGACCUACGGGUGAAAGCGGAGGACCUUCGGGCUUCGCGCAGAUAGAUGAGCCGAUGUCGGAUUAGCUAGUUGGCGGGGUAAAGGCCCACCAAGGCGACGAGCCGUAGCUGGUCUGAGAGGAUGAUCAGCCACACUGGAACUGAGACACGGUCCAGACUCCUACGGGAGGCAGCAGGGGGGAAUAUUGGACAAUGGGCGCAAGCCUGAUCCAGCCAUGCCGCGUGGGUGAAGAAGGCCUUCGGGUUGUAAAGCCCUUUUGUUGGGAAAGAAAAGCAGCCGGUUAAUACCCGGUUGUUCUGACGGUACCCAAAGAAUAAGCACCGGCUAACUUCGUG
rnacentral:rRNA from 1 species